rnacentral:rRNA from 1 species
CCAGCAAUGGGAAGACGUGAUGCGGAGUGAAAAAUAGUAACGAAGUCCGUGAGCUGUGCGUCAAGAAAAGCCGCUAUUGUUCAUACCAUACCCGUACCGUAAACCGACACAGGUGGAUGAGGAGAGAAUCCUAAGGCCGGCGGAAGAAGCAUUGUCAAGGAACUCGGCAAAAUGACCCCGUAACUUCGGGAGAAGGGGUGCCACUGAAAAGUGGCCGCAGAGAAUAGGCUCAAGCAACUGUUUAGCAAAAACACAGGUCUAUGCGAAACCGUAAGGUGAGGUAUAUGGGCUGACGCCUGCCCGGUGCUGGAAGGUUAAGAGGAGAGGUUAGCGCAAGCGAAGCUUUGAAUUUAAGCCCCAGUAAACGGCGGCCGUAACAAUAACGGUCCUAAGGUAGCGAAAUUCCUUGUCGGGUAAGUUCCGACCCGCACGAAAGGCGUAAUGAUUUGAGCGCUGUCUCGACAAUGCAUCCGGUGAAAUUGAAGUACCAGUGAAGAUGCUGGUUACCUGCGCCAGGACGGAAAGACCCCAUGGAGCUUUACUCCAGUUUGGUACUGGGAUCCGGUACUGCAUGUACAGGAUAGGUGGGAGGCUGUGAAAUAGUAACGCCAGUUAUUAUGGAGCCGCUGUUGGGAUACCACCCUUGCAGUAUUGGGUUUCUAACCAGCCGCCGUGACCCGGCGGUGGGACAAUGCCAGACGGGGAGUUUGACUGGGGCGGUCGCCUCCGAAAGGGUAUCGGAGGCGCCCAAAGGUUCCCUCAGAAUGGACGGAAACCAUUCGAAGAGUGCAAAGGCAGAAGGGAGCUUGACUGCGACACCGACGGGUGGAGCAGGUACGAAAGUAGGGCUUAGUGAUCCGGUGGUAUUAAGUGGGAAUGCCAUCGCUCAACGGAUAAAAGCUACCCUGGGAUAACAGGCUUAUCACUCCCAAGAGUUCACAUCGACGGAGUGGUUUGGCACCUCGAUGUCGGCUCAUCGCAUCCUGGGGCUGUAGUAGGUCCCAAGGGUUGGGCUGUUCGCCCAUUAAAGCGGUACGCGAGCUGGGUUCAGAACGUCGUGAGACAGUUCGGUCCCUAUCCGGCGUGGGCGUAGGAUAUCUGAGAGGAGCUGUCCUCAGUACGAGAGGACCGGGAUGGACGGGCCGCUGGUGCACCGGUUAGACUGCCAAGUCUAUAGCCGGGUAGCCAAGCCCGGAAGGGAUAAACGCUGAAGGCAUCUAAGCGUGAAGCCACCCUCAAGAUGAGAUAUCCCAUCCGAAAGGAGUAAACCCCCUUGAAGACGACGAGGUUGAUAGGGCAGAGGUGGAAGUACGGUAACGUAUGGAGCUGACUGCUACUAAUAGGGUGAGGGCUUGACCAG